rnacentral:rRNA from 1 species
UAUGGAGAGUUUGAUCCUGGCUCAGGAUGAACGCUGGCGGCGUGCCUAAUACAUGCAAGUCGAGCGAACGGACGAGAAGCUUGCUUCUCUGAUGUUAGCGGCGGACGGGUGAGUAACACGUGGAUAACCUACCUAUAAGACUGGGAUAACUUCGGGAAACCGGAGCUAAUACCGGAUAAUAUUUUGAACCGCAUGGUUCAAAAGUAAAAGACGGUCUUGCUGUCACUUAUAGAUGGAUCCGCGCUGCAUUAGCUAGUUGGUAAGGUAACGGCUUACCAAGGCAACGAUGCAUAGCCGACCUGAGAGGGUGAUCGGCCACACUGGAACUGAGACACGGUCCAGACUCCUACGGGAGGCAGCAGUAGGGAAUCUUCCGCAAUGGGCGAAAGCCUGACGGAGCAACGCCGCGUGAGUGAUGAAGGUCUUCGGAUCGUAAAACUCUGUUAUUAGGGAAGAACAUAUGUGUAAGUAACUGUGCACAUCUUGACGGUACCUAAUCAGAAAGCCACGGCUAACUACGUGCCAGCAGCCGCGGUAAUACGUAGGUGGCAAGCGUUAUCCGGAAUUAUUGGGCGUAAAGCGCGCGUAGGCGGUUUUUUAAGUCUGAUGUGAAAGCCCACGGCUCAACCGUGGAGGGUCAUUGGAAACUGGAAAACUUGAGUGCAGAAGAGGAAAGUGGAAUUCCAUGUGUAGCGGUGAAAUGCGCAGAGAUAUGGAGGAACACCAGUGGCGAAGGCGACUUUCUGGUCUGUAACUGACGCUGAUGUGCGAAAGCGUGGGGAUCAAACAGGAUUAGAUACCCUGGUAGUCCACGCCGUAAACGAUGAGUGCUAAGUGUUAGGGGGUUUCCGCCCCUUAGUGCUGCAGCUAACGCAUUAAGCACUCCGCCUGGGGAGUACGACCGCAAGGUUGAAACUCAAAGGAAUUGACGGGGACCCGCACAAGCGGUGGAGCAUGUGGUUUAAUUCGAAGCAACGCGAAGAACCUUACCAAAUCUUGACAUCCUUUGACAACUCUAGAGAUAGAGCCUUCCUCUUCGGGGGACAAAGUGACAGGUGGUGCAUGGUUGUCGUCAGCUCGUGUCGUGAGAUGUUGGGUUAAGUCCCGCAACGAGCGCAACCCUUAAGCUUAGUUGCCAUCAUUAAGUUGGGCACUCUAAGUUGACUGCCGGUGACAAACCGGAGGAAGGUGGGGAUGACGUCAAAUCAUCAUGCCCCUUAUGAUUUGGGCUACACACGUGCUACAAUGGACAAUACAAAGGGCAGCGAAACCGCGAGGUCAAGCAAAUCCCAUAAAGUUGUUCUCAGUUCGGAUUGUAGUCUGCAACUCGACUACAUGAAGCUGGAAUCGCUAGUAAUCGUAGAUCAGCAUGCUACGGUGAAUACGUUCCCGGGUCUUGUACACACCGCCCGUCACACCACGAGAGUUUGUAACACCCGAAGCCGGUGGAGUAACCUUUUAGGAGCUAGCCGUCGAAGGUGGGACAAAUGAUUGGGGUGAAGUCGUAACAAGGUAGCCGUAUCGGAAGGUGCGGCUGGAUCACCUCCUU